GAUGAACGCUGGCGGCGUGCCUAAUACAUGCAAGUCGAGCGAACGGACGAGAAGCUUGCUUUUCUGAUGUUAGCGGCGGACGGGUGAGUAACACGUGGAUAACCUACCUAUAAGACUGGGAUAACUUCGGGAAACCGGAGCUAAUACCGGAUAAUAUUUUGAACCGCAUGGUUCAAAAGUGAAAGACGGUCUUGCUGUCACUUAUAGAUGGAUCCGCGCUGCAUUAGCUAGUUGGUAAGGUAACGGCUUACCAAGGCAACGAUGCAUAGCCGACCUGAGAGGGUGAUCGGCCACACUGGAACUGAGACACGGUCCAGACUCCUACGGGAGGCAGCAGUAGGGAAUCUUCCGCAAUGGGCGAAAGCCUGACGGAGCAACGCCGCGUGAGUGAUGAAGGUCUUCGGAUCGUAAAACUCUGUUAUUAGGGAAGAACAUAUGUGUAAGUAACUGUGCACAUCUUGACGGUACCUAAUCAGAAAGCCACGGCUAACUACGUGCCAGCAGCCGCGGUAAUACGUAGGUGGCAAGCGUUAUCCGGAAUUAUUGGGCGUAAAGCGCGCGUAGGCGGUUUUUUAAGUCUGAUGUGAAAGCCCACGGCUCAACCGUGGAGGGUCAUUGGAAACUGGAAAACUUGAGUGCAGAAGAGGAAAGUGGAAUUCCAUGUGUAGCGGUGAAAUGCGCAGAGAUGUGGAGGAACACCAGUGGCGAAGGCGACUUUCUGGUCUGUAACUGACGCUGAUGUGCGAAAGCGUGGGGAUCAAACAGGAUUAGAUACCCUGGUAGUCCACGCCGUAAACGAUGAGUGCUAAGUGUUAGGGGGUUUCCGCCCCUUAGUGCUGCAGCUAACGCAUUAAGCACUCCGCCUGGGGAGCACGACCGCAAGGUUGAAACUCAAAGGAAUUGACGGGGGCCCGCACAAGCGGUGGAGCAUGUGGUUUAAUUCGAAGCAACGCGAAGAACCUUACCAAAUCUUGACAUCCUUUGACAACUCUAGAGAUAGAGCCUUCCCCUUCGGGGGACAAAGUGACAGGUGGUGCAUGGUUGUCGUCAGCUCGUGUCGUGAGAUGUUGGGUUAAGUCCCGCAACGAGCGCAACCCUUAAGCUUAGUUGCCAUCAUUAAGUUGGGCACUCUAAGUUGACUGCCGGUGACAAACCGGAGGAAGGUGGGGAUGACGUCAAAUCAUCAUGCCCCUUAUGAUUUGGGCUACACACGUGCUACAAUGGACAAUACAAAGGGCAGCGAAACCGCGAGGUCAAGCAAAUCCCAUAAAGUUGUUCUCAGUUCGGAUUGUAGUCUGCAACUCGACUACAUGAAGCUGGAAUCGCUAGUAAUCGUAGAUCAGCAUGCUACGGUGAAUACGUUCCCGGGUCU
rnacentral:rRNA from 1 species